rnacentral:misc_RNA from 1 species
GUGAAUCAUCGAAUCUUUGAACGCAAAUUGCACUCUCUGGUAUUCCGGAGAGUAUGCCUGUUUGAGGGUCAGUUUAAAUAAAAAUCGGUGUGGUUGCUGCCUUUCGUGGUUACGCACCGGAUUUGGGUCGUCUUGCCUUCGGUUAAGAGACCUCAAAUUUUGCAUGAUUUUUUUUGCACCUAUUUAAAUGAUUUUAAGUACUUUUUCUAUAUCGCAUACUA